GGAUAACACAUCGAAAGGUGUGCUAAUACCGCAUGAAAUGACGGGAUCGCAUGAUCCUGUUAUCAAAGGAGCAAUCCGCUGAAAGAUGGGCUCAUGUCUGAUUAGAUAGUUGGUGAGGUAACGGCUCACCAAGUCGACGAUCAGUAGCCGGACUGAGAGGUUGAACGGCCACAUUGGAACUGAGAGACGGUCCAGACUCCUACGGGAGGCAGCAGUGGGGAAUAUUGGGCAAUGGGCGCAAGCCUGACCCAGCAACGCCGCGUGAAGGAAGAAGGUCUUCGGAUUGUAAACUUUUGUCUUAUGGGACGAUAAUGACGGUACCAUAGGAGGAAGUCACGACUAACUACGUGCCAGCAGUCGCGGUAAUACGUAGGUGGCAAGCGUUAUCCGGAAUUAUUGGGUGUAAAGGGUGCGUAGGCGGGAUGUAAAGUCAGAUGUGAAAUGCCGCAGCUUAACUGCGGAGCUGCAUUUGAAACUUAUGUUCUUGAGUGAAGUAGAGGCAAGCGGAAUUCCUAGUGUAGCGGUGGAAUGCGUAGAUAUUAGGAGGAACACCGGUGGCGAAGGCGGCUUGCUGGGCUUUUACUGACGCUGAGGCACGAAAGUGUGGGGAGCAAACAGGAUUAGAUACCCUGGUAGUCCACACCGUAAACG
rnacentral:rRNA from 1 species